GUCUUGUGUGCUUCCCAGCAUUUCAUUGGUGUCACAUCCUCCGUUUCAUUAUCGUGGAAGUAGUCUCGUAUGGUUUGGCCUAUUUUAUCAGUCACUGUCACAUCCGAUAGGAUUGAUUCGUUCAGUCUCCAGGACAUCUGUCUGGGCUUAAAUAACGGUGAUGCCAUCCGUAUGCGGAUCGGGCAGUGGUCCGACCACGUCAUCAGCAGGAUGUCUGCUGCCUUGAGUAGGGCCAAGUUGUGGUGUGCUAUUAAGAAGUAGUCUAG